rnacentral:rRNA from 1 species
CCUACGGGCGGCAGCAGUGAGGAAUAUUGGUCAAUGGGCGUAAGCCUGAACCAGCCAAGUCGCGUGAGGGAUGAAGGUUCUAUGGAUCGUAAACCUCUUUUAUAAGGGAAUAAAGUGUGGGACGUGUCCUAUUUUGUAUGUACCUUAUGAAUAAGGAUCGGCUAACUCCGUGCCAGCAGCCGCGGUAAUACGGAGGAUCCGAGCGUUAUCCGGAUUUAUUGGGUUUAAAGGGUGCGUAGGCGGCCUUUUAAGUCAGCGGUGAAAGUCUUUGGCUCAACCAUAAAAUUGCCGUUGAAACUGGGGGGCUUGAGUAUGUUUGAGGCAGGCGGAAGGCGGGGUGUAGCGGUGAAAUGCUUAGAUAUCAGGCAGAACCCCGAUUGCGAAGGCAGCCUGCCAAGCCAUGACUGACGCGGAUGCACGAAAGCGUGGGGAUCAAACAGGAUUAGAUACCCCGGUAGUC